AGAGUUUGAUUAUGGCUCAGGACGAACGCUGGCGGCGUGCCUAACACAUGCAAGUUGAGCGGAGAUAUAUGGAGCUUGCUUUAUAUAACUUAGCAGCGAACGGGUGAGUAACACGUAGAUAAUCUAUCCUAUACUGGGGGAUAGCCCGAUGAAAGUUGGAUUAAUACCGCAUAUAGCUAUAUAGUUGCAUGAUUAUGUAGUGAAAGAUUUAUUGGUAUAGGAGGAGUCUGCGGCACAUUAGCUAGUAGGUGAGGUAAAGGCUUACCUAGGCGACGAUGUGUAGCCGGUCUGAGAGGAUGAACGGCCACAAUGGAACUGAGACACGGUCCAUACUCCUACGGGAGGCAGCAGUGGGGAAUAUUGCACACUGGGGGAAACCCUGAUGCAGCAACGCCGCGUGAGUGAAGAAGGUUUUCGGAUUGUAAAGCUCUGUUAGCAGGGAAGAGGAAGGACGGUACCUGCAGAGGAAGCCACGGCUAACUACGUGCCAGCAGCCGCGGUAAUACGUAGGUGGCAAGCGUUGUUCGGAAUAACUGGGCGUAAAGGAUGCGUAAGCGGUUAAACAAGUUAUAUGUUAAAUAUAUAAGCUUAACCUGUAGAAAGCAUAUAAAACUGUUUAACU
rnacentral:rRNA from 1 species